UGCGCCCAGCUCCCUAGCUGCCGGCUCGCUCGGCCCAAAUCCCCGCGCCUUGAAAGAGAAGGUGGGACCGAGCCUUGACGCUUCUUCUACCGUCGGGACUGCUUUAAGUCUCCGACGCUUUUCACUAUGCAGAAGAGCCCUAGAGAACGCGUUAGAACGGCAAAGGAAUGACUCAGAAGCAAGAAUCGGGGACUCCUUGGACCCUUGGCAUAUUCUCUGUUAUACCAGUUCUAGGAUGGCUUCUUGCUACUGACACCAAAACAGGUCGUUGGGAAGCUUAUUAAAAAUUUCAAGAGGUAUGGCAGUACUGCAACUGUUCUCACUUAUGGAAGGUACUGGUUUCGCAUCCCAGGACUUCUUAUGUGUUCCAGUGCUGCCAUUUGACCUAAACCAGAGAAAGAGAAGCAGGCCAAGGUCAUGGGUAAGGAGUGGAGUGCAAGAGUGAGAGAAGGCAGAAAGGUUCAAUACCCAAGACCCACCUAACCAUGCAGUGUACCUACAGCAUCACAUUCAACCCUGGAUUUUCCCCAGUGUGUGUCUCCAGCCUCUUACUGAAGUACAGGAUGAUGCUGGAGGAGGACCGAUGCCAAUCCAAUGAUUAACUCUUGUUCUGAUUGAAAUCUGAUCCUGGUUGCUGCUAAGCUUCACUUCCAGUAACAUUCUUACACAAUUUAAUUGUGUUUAUUGCAGACCUUUCUGUUAAA